GCGGCAGAAUAAGAUACUGGGUAGGGUGUGGGCUAUUUCUUUCACUCACCAUGUUUAUUCCAAAAAAUGUCUGCCCCCACUCUGGUAGCCUAUGGACAAGCAUUAAGAAUAAGCUAUGUGGUCAAUCUGUGCUGUCAGAAACAGGCCGAGAGUGAUGGAGAGAGUGUGAACAGACCAUCAGGCACAAUGACUCAACUCCACCCCAGGACAAAGAGAAGAGGAACACUGUGCUUUCACCUUUUUCAAUCAUUUGAAAUGGACUUUUCAUCCUGAUUUUGAAGUAACAGUGUUGUGCAUUUAGUCUUUUUUGGUAAUUGCUCAGCCAAUGGAAUGAUAUGGAGGAAAUAGAAAUGCAUGUAUUGAGACAUUAACAUAAUGUUUAUUCCUUUUUGUUUGAUUUAAUUCUGUUGUCAUUUUAAAGCUUAGAGUGAAAUUCUACUUUUCAGGGUCAGUUAACUUAAUUGUUUCGCACUGGUUUUAACGUUGUUUCAUUUUCCAGAGCGAGGGCUAUGAACCUAAAAUCAUACAGUCUCUGUUUUUCCCUUUGCUCUUGGUUCACUGUAUCAACCAUUAUCGUUUCAGUGUAGCCUGGCUACUACUGGUAGUCUGUUUCUGCUUCUAAACUGUUGGCAUGACAACCAUGUAGUUUGGUUCAAUGCACAACCUUUUUGGUACUCUGCUUGUUUUCUUGGACCUCCUUUGUCCAACUUCUUAAUGAUCAUGGUUGUUUUAAUCAAAUUAAGUGUACAAAAUUGUGUCUGGUGUUUUUCCCUAGCCAUUUGAAAUCUAUUCACAAUCUUGUGAUGAUAAUGGGGGAAAACAUAAUAAAACGAGUAAUGUAACGUUUGUUUUCUGGAAAACAUUCAUGUUUUUGUAAAUCUAGUUUGGUCUGAUUUCUUUAGUGUGAGAAAUCUAAAGAACUAUGUAUAAACACACAGCUAAACAAAGGUAGAUUACAACAUUUAAAAAAAACUCAACUGAUCACAAGACUUCAUUAAAUCUCGUCGACUGAACUGCAGUUGGAACUAGUGGAUUAAUUGCUGUCCACAGUAAGUGGUGUAGCUUGGCGGAGUGACUUUACGAGUAUCUAAACACCAUAGGC
ensembl:lncRNA